GAACGGAAAGGCCCUGCUUGCAGGGUACUCGAGUGGCGAACGGGUGAGUAACACGUGGGUGAUCUGCCCUGCACUUCGGGAUAAGCUUGGGAAACUGGGUCUAAUACCGGAUAGGAACCAUCUUUAGUGUGGUGGUUGGAAAGUUUUUUCGGUGUAGGAUGAGCUCGCGGCCUAUCAGCUUGUUGGUGGGGUAAUGGCCUACCAAGGCGGCGACGGGUAGCCGGCCUGAGAGGGUGUACGGCCACAUUGGGACUGAGAUACGGCCCAGACUCCUACGGGAGGCAGCAGUGGGGAAUAUUGCACAAUGGGCGCAAGCCUGAUGCAGCGACGCCGCGUGGGGGAUGAAGGCCUUCGGGUUGUAAACUCCUUUCGCUAGGGACGAAGCUUUUUGUGACGGUACCUAGAUAAGAAGCACCGGCUAACUACGUGCCAGCAGCCGCGGUAAUACGUAGGGUGCGAGCGUUGUCCGGAAUUACUGGGCGUAAAGGGCUCGUAGGUGGUUUGUCGCGUCGUCUGUGAAAUUCUGGGGCUUAACUCCGGGCGUGCAGGCGAUACGGGCAUAACUUGAGUGCUGUAGGGGUAACUGGAAUUCCUGGUGUAGCGGUGAAAUGCGCAGAUAUCAGGAGGAACACCGAUGGCGAAGGCAGGUUACUGGGCAGUUACUGACGCUGAGGAGCGAAAGCAUGGGUAGCGAACAGG
rnacentral:rRNA from 1 species